CCUACGGGAGGCAGCAGUGGGGAAUAUUGCGCAAUGGGCGAAAGCCUGACGCAGCGACGCCGCGUGAGGGAUGAAGGUCUUCGGAUCGUAAACCUCUGUCUGUAGGGAAGAACGGUCACUGUGCUAAUCAGCAGUGAAUUGACGGUACCUGCAAAGGAAGCACCGGCUAACUCCGUGCCAGCAGCCGCGGGAAUACGGAGGGUGCGAGCGUUAAUCGGAUUUACUGGGCGUAAAGCGCUCGUAGGCGGUAUGUCAAGUCAAGGGUGAAAGCCCCGGGCUCAACGGGGGAACUGCCUUUGAAACUGGCAGACUGGAGUGUGUGAGAGGUUAGUGGAAUUCCCGGUGUAGCGGUGAAAUCCGUAGAUAUCUGGAGGAACAUCAGUGGCGAAGGCGGCUUGCUGGAACGUAACUGACGCUGAGGAGCGAAAGCGUGGGUAGCAAACAGGAUUAGAUACCCUAGUAGUC
rnacentral:rRNA from 1 species